rnacentral:rRNA from 1 species
UACGUAGGGUGCAAGCGUUGUCCGGAAUUAUUGGGCGUAAAGAGCUCGUAGGCGGUCUGUCACGUCGGCUGUGAAAACCCGAGGCUCAACCUCGGGCCUGCAGUCGAUACGGGCAGACUAGAGUUCAGUAGGGGAGACUGGAAUUCCUGGUGUAGCGGUGAAAUGCGCAGAUAUCAGGAGGAACACCGGUGGCGAAGGCGGGUCUCUGGGCCGAAACUGACGCUGAGGAGCGAAAGCGUGGGGAGCGAACAGG